UCGCAUCACCGGAAAGGACGGACACCCGGCACCGCCCUUUCCACCGGAGGCCCCGACCACCCGUCGGGGCCUCUUUUUUUC
rnacentral:sRNA from 1 species